GAUGAACGCUGGCGGCGUGCCUAAUACAUGCAAGUCGACCGAACAGACGAGGAGCUUGCUCCUCUGACGUUAGCGGCGGACGGGUGAGUAACACGUGGAUAACCUACCUAUAAGACUGGGAUAACUUCGGGAAACCGGAGCUAAUACCGGAUAACAUGUUGAACCGCAUGGUUCAACAGUGAAAAACGGUCUUGCUGUCACUUAUAGAUGGAUCCGCGCCGCAUUAGCUAGUUGGUAAGGUAACGGCUUACCAAGGCAACGAUGCGUAGCCGACCUGAGAGGGUGAUCGGCCACACUGGAACUGAGACACGGUCCAGACUCCUACGGGAGGCAGCAGUAGGGAAUCUUCCGCAAUGGGCGAAAGCCUGACGGAGCAACGCCGCGUGAGUGAAGAAGGUCUUCGGAUCGUAAAACUCUGUUAUUAGGGAAGAACAAAUGUGUAAGUAACUAUGCACGUCUUGACGGUACCUAAUCAGAAAGCCACGGCUAACUACGUG
rnacentral:rRNA from 1 species